rnacentral:rRNA from 1 species
CAACGAGAAGCGAACCUGCGAAGGCAAGCGGAUCUCUUAAAGACCGUUCUCAGUUCGGACUGUGGGCUGCAACUCGCCUACACGAAGCUGGAAUCGCUAGUAAUCGCGGAUCAGCACGCCGCGGUGAAUACGUUCCCGGGCCUUGUACACACCGCCCGUCACACCAUGAGAGUCUGUAACACCCAAAGCCGGUGGGAUAACCUUUAUAGGAGUCAGCCGUCUAAGGUAGGACAGAUGAUUAGGGUGAAGUCGUAACAAGGUAAC